rnacentral:rRNA from 1 species
AUCAGUAGCCGACCUGAGAGGGUGAUCGGCCACAUUGGAACUGAGACACGGUCCAAACUCCUACGGGAGGCAGCAGUGGGGAAUAUUGCACAAUGGGCGCAAGCCUGAUGCAGCAACGCCGCGUGAAGGAUGAAGGCCUUCGGGUUGUAAACUUCUGUCCUUGGGGAAGAAACAAAUGACAUUACCCUUGGAGGAAGCCCCGGCUAACUACGUGCCAGCAGCCGCGGUAAUACGUAGGGGGCGAGCGUUAUCCGGAAUUAUUGGGCGUAAAGAGUGCGUAGGUGGCACCUUAAGCGCAGGGUUUAAGGCAAUGGCUCAACCAUUGUUCGCCUUGCGAACUGGGGUGCUUGAGUGCAGGAGGGGAAAGUGGAAUUCCUAGUGUAGCGGUGAAAUGCGUAGAUAUUAGGAGGAACACCAGUGGCGAAGGCGACUUUCUGGACUGUUACUGACACUGAGGCACGAAAGCGUGGGGAGCAAACAGGAUUAGAUACCCUGGUAGUCCACGCCGUAAACGAUGAGCACUAGGUGUCGGGGUCGCAAGACUUCGGUGCCGCAGUUAACGCAUUAAGUGCUCCGCCUGGGGAGUACGCACGCAAGUGUAAAACUCAAAGGAAUUGACGGGGACCCGCACAAGCAGCGGAGCAUGUGGUUUAAUUCGAAGCAACGCGAAGAACCUUACCAGGACUUGACAUCCUCUUGACAGAUCCUUAAUCGGAUCCUUCUUCGGACAAGAGAGACAGGUGGUGCAUGGUUGUCGUCAGCUCGUGUCGUGAGAUGUUGGGUUAAGUCCCGCAACGAGCGCAACCCUUGCCAUUAGUUGCCAUCAUUUAGUUGGGCACUCUAGUGGGACUGCCGGGGAAAACUCGGAGGAAGGUGGGGAUGACGUCAAAUCAUCAUGCCCCUUAUGUUCUGGGCUACACACGUGCUACAAUGGCCGGUACAACAGGCAGCGAACCCGUGAGGGGGAGCGAAUCCCAAAAGCCGGUCCCAGUUCGGACUGUAGGCUGCAACUCGCCUACACGAAGUUGGA